GGAAAACUAUAAAGUCAUCUCAAGCUAGUUAUAUAGGGCAGCACCCUACGGUGUUGUGCGUAGGUGUGUUUUUAGGAUAUUUAAGAACCCUACCCCGUACCGUGCUAGGCCGCGGAUGAACACCAUCGGCACUCGUACCAGGACGGGUGACGUCCGCCAUCUUGGCGUUAUUACUCUCCCUGCAGAGUCUGGUCGGUUCUGCAGAGGAGGUCCACCUAGUCAGAGGUGAAUCUGCAUUAGUGAAGCGAUAUAAUUGCAAUGUCUGCUAACGUUGCUAGUGCAGUUUCGUCUCUAAGCGCAGGGGGCUUGGACUGGCGUGCAGUCAUCUCGUAGUACAUAUGUUAAGUAUGAGAUUUGUGUUUUAUCCAGACAUCAGACCUAUGGUUUGAGAAAAAUGAAGUUAAUUGCGUAAUAAAAUGUUCUCGCAUGCAAGGACUUGCACAUGAUGUUUCAUCUCUAAAAUUAACUUUGAAAAUAUUUUAAUUUUUAUCUCCUUUUCAUAAACAAAUGUAAGUCUUGAUUGGUUUUCAAAAUAUCGUACUUCCUUCUGAAGCCAUGCAGGGUGUGUGUAUGUAUGUAUGUAUGUAUGUAUGUGUGUGUAAAUAACCAAGUGUCUGUAUUUCAUGUGCAAUUUUUUCAUAAACAAAUUAGCAUCUUUAGCAGUUAUUUUAAUCAAUAUUUCUAACCUGAAGCUGCGCACUUCGCAUGCGCGGUCUCCUGCCAUGUAAAUUAUGCCUUGUGUAAUAACAAUUUUUUGAGGGGUGUGGGGUGUAUUUUUGCUUAGUUAAACUGUUGUUUUUUGAUGGAUAAAAGUAUUAAUUCCGAGUCGUUGAAGGCAACAGGGGCGUUCCAGAGGCAAUCCGUCAGCCCAAUCCUAGUAAAGACUCGAGUGUUGUCCGCUCGUUUUGCAGUAUGGUGUCUGGUACCGUCCAAUCUACACAAAAUUUAAAUAUUACGUGUUUUAAUAUGUUGCCUUUGUAAAUAAAAGUACAUUAUGUGGGCAAGUAUGUAUUUCAUCUCAGUGCACGCAUGCGCACGCAUGUGUGAGUAAGUGUGUGCAUGUGUGUGCGUGUGUGUGGUAGGAUGGUUAAGUCUAACAUGUAAAUAAAACCUGUAUGAGAUAAUAUAAUUUUUAAUUUCUAGAUGCAGUAACAGCAACCUAGGAUGAAAUUUCUACCGUAAGGUUUAAGAGAAGUAAAUUUUUUUUGGUCUUACAGAAUUUUAGCGUGAUGAUGAAGCAGCAUCGUUGUAAAAGGGAAAGAGAGUGAGAUGUUUUAUUUGACCAAUGAAAAGAGAGCUUAAGGAAUGUCUCCUUAAAUGUUUGUGAAAAGGGUUGGUUCCUGGAACAUCAGCAAAUUGUGUCAUACUGUAGAUGUUCAACUGAUUGUUCGCAAUGAAAUGCUAAAAAUUUUUAAACGAAUGUUGGUCAUAAUAAAUGUAGAAUAAAGUUUUAAUGUUUUAGUUUUGUAAUGUGUUCUUACUUUUAAAUAAAUGUAUUAAACAUACCCGAUUAUUUAUUUCCUUGCAUUACUAGUAUUAUCAUUUAGCUACCUGUCUACCCG